UCUCUGCAACCUCCGCCUCUUGGGUUCAAGCUACUCUUAUGCCUCAGCCUCCGUCAAGCAGACGAAAUUUCCUCCUACUGAGGGAGGGUUGGCCUUUUUGUUCCAUUCAGGCUUUCAAUGGAUUGGAUGAGGCCUGGCCAUAUCAUAAUCCAUUUGGGACUUGACACUGUCAUCCACCAAAAAAGCAAAAUAUUUUCCCAUCUAGAAUCAAAGUAGAAAACCACUCUCACAGUUGGUUUGGGUUUUAAAGGCACACCAGUGGUUGAAAAAUGGUUUGUGGCAUUGCAAAUCCCUCUUUGUUUGUGUUCCCCAGCAGGUCCAGUGUGU
rnacentral:lncRNA from 1 species